UCUUCUUUCUUAUUUUUUUUGGGCGAUGUUUUCAAUUCUUCAAAGUUUUAAAUCCUCGAUCAAUUUUGGUUAUCUCAAUCAAAUCACUAUAAAGUAAAUCCCAUCCGCAGUAGUAACCAUGCAAAGGAUCUUGAGUGUGUUUUAUUAAUCUGUCAUAUAAGAUGUUAGUCGGUAUAUUUUAUCCAAUCCAAGCCAGAAUUCGCCUUUCAGAUCGCCAAAACCUUGUUUAUAGUCUUUCCAACCUCGAUAGAAGUUUACACUUCCAUCUUGACGUCAAUGAAACACAGUCCAACCUCCACUAGAUGAUUUCAUAUCACAGAAAACCUUAAAGUAACCCUGACCAUCAGGAUUAAUUUGAUAAACUCCGUUC